UUAGGUGAGAAAAUAGUUUACUCAAUACUCUCAAAAGUUUACAAAAUAUUUAUUGAAAGUAUACAAAAAGAUUAAAAACCUGCUCACUUGGGCAAACACGGCCUCAUAGGAGUGAUUUUAACGCAAAGCCUUCGCAGACCGCUAAGAAUUCCAUUGAAGCCACCUUCUUCUAUGUUAAUGUUUCGUUUCAUCGAGGUCUCAAUUUCGAUCUGCCCCGCGUUUCUCUCUUCAAAUUCGUUGAGAAUCGCUUGAUUCAGGAGUAUGUAACAUAUAUAAAGUCUUUGUAUUGAACACGCUUUAAAAGCGUUUAAUCUUUAUAGUGAAAAAUGGGGAUCAAUGUUCAGCCAUAUUCAUGUAUCGCUGCUAAUUUUGCCAAUUAUGCUGGUCUCCUUUUACCAGUAGAAAAAUUAUUGGUCUAGAUUCACCAUCGGGAGGCCAUUAGUCAUGGUUUUUAUACUCCGGGAGGGAAAAAGGUUUCGGCUGCUUCUAUAUUUUGUGAGAGUUUUCCAUAUAAAGUGAAUCCACAAACUUGUUUGGUUUAUUAUGAUAAACUGGAGGAGAAGGCCAUGGUUAUAAGCCCAAGAUUUUGAUUUGUGGUGGGAGUUCAUAUCCUAGAGCUUGGGACUAUGGGAGGUAUAGGCAGAUUGCAGAAGUCUGGCACUGUUCUUAUUUGUGGUAUGUCUCAUAUAAGUGGGCUUUUGGCAGCUAAGGUGUGGUUUAAUUUCUAUUGUUAAAUUCUUUUAUUUCUUGUGUGAGUAACUUUGGUGUUGUAUGGUUUAUUAGAUGCACCUACAAAAAAUAUAUUACAUACGGCAUAUACUUUCAAUCUAUGGUCACUGUAGAAAUAAAGAUUUGUAGAAUAUUUCCAUUAUUUGUUGUCAUUAUUGUUCAUACUGCGUUAUGGUCACUUGGGGUGGUGAAAUCCUAGAGUUUUGCUGUCAGGUAGUUGUACACGCAUAGAAUUAAUGAUACUGAUUUUUUUAUGUAUAAGAGUUAUAUAUAAGAAGAUCGGAAAAAAUUUCUUUCAUAGAUUGAUUGCUACUGACAUCAAUGGAACAUAUAUACCUCUGACAUGCUUCUUAUGAGUCGCAUCACUUUCUAAAGAGGGCUCAUCGUUUGAUGCACUUCUUAUUUUAAACUUUUUUUAAACAUUUUGCAAGGUAGAAUAUGAUACUGCUUGGCAGAGGUAAGAAUACACAUCCUCCUGUCUACAGUUACAUUUUUUGGAGGCUGAAAAUUGUUAAAGUUUGCUGAUAUGAUCUUAUAAUCUCCUAGAAGUGAAAUUUUCACGGAUAAUGGGAUUUCAUAUCACAAAAUGUUUGAAGUUCAGGACGUUAGAUACACUACAAGUCAUGCUUAAAUCUGGAAUGAAUUUUUCCAUCAGUUUUUCUCAAAUGCCAUGUUCCUCAAAAUUUCUUUCAAGUAGUUAUUGAAAAGGAGGUUGGAUGAGGUUUGUCUUGAAAGGUUUCAACAAUAUUGUUGUGCACAGUCUUGGAUUUUACAAGUGACAACAAACAAUUUUUCAGUCAUCGGACUACCCACUGGAGGAUUUACUGACUGCCUACUUCGGUACGGUGCAUUGUUUGUUUAUGGAGUUGAUGUAGGUUAUGGACAGGUAAAAAUACUUUAUUUUUAAUUCAGAAGGAUUCUACCCAAAUUGAUGUAAGUUAUGUCAAUAGAUUGACAUUAUGACUCAGUGAAUUCAGAAGGAUUUUGUCAAAUACUAUUGAGCUAAGGACUUAUGACAUUUUACGAAAA